rnacentral:sRNA from 1 species
ACCCAGCCCCGGUAGCAGUGGAAAUCCUGCACAACGCAGUGGCGCAGAUUGCAACGGAUAACGGGACCCCGC